rnacentral:lncRNA from 1 species
AGUGCCUGGUGGGAAGGGCUGAUGCCGCAUACUCGGAUUGCUGGGUUCUCUGGCCGCCCUUGCGCCCGCCCUCGCGCAUGGGAUCACCUCGCCGGGAUGAGUAAACCCUGCCCUGGCGCAGGGAGGUUCUCGGGCGGGGCCGACAGGGGCAGGCGCCAGGGAAGGCCAGCACCCCUGUAACAAGACGACUGUCCCCGCCCACCACUCGGGCCCCCACGCGUGCAGCCCUCUUUCAUCUCUUGGUCCUCCUUUCUUUCUUUUCAUACAUGUUACAGCCACUUCCAAGGAAAGCCUGGAUUGCAAGAGCUCUGGGAACCGGAGACUUCAGAGAAGAGGGCUUUGAAUGGGGAGUGGGGGAGGUGGUGCACAGGACCUGCAAGACGCUGGGAGGGGUGAUCGGCACCAAGGGCACUUUGGGAGGACCUGCCUAGGACGUGGACUUCCCCGAAGACAGGAUCGCAAGGAGAGACAGCUGGAUCCUGUCCGCGGCCAAGGUGCCUGGCUCAGGAAACCAGCGGAGCGCGCUUGGCCUCACAGGACAGUGGGUGUGGCUGGGGUGACGGGGCAGGGUGGGGAAGACUGGCCUAACACCAGCGCCCUCUGCCCCAUGGCUGGCCAGGGACCCGCGAGUCCCUGGACACGCACUGGCCAACGCCAGACCCCAUCUCAUCGGGUGGGGAAGUCGCGGGGACACUGUCAGGGCGCCGAAGUCCGGACCCGGCUCAGAGGCGGUGGCAGGUGAAUUGCUGCGGCGCCGGGUAGGGGCGGGCGCGUGGGAGCGAGUCAGCCUGGCCAGUUUCGGCCCAGCUUCCGAAGGAUGGUGCUUCUUGCACCCCAACAGAGUGGCUGGCAACCCCCCAGGGGAGCGCGCAGGAUCCCAGCUGAUCCCACCCGGGUCGGCUAAGGAGGUUUCCAUUUCGUCCAGAGUCCGAAUUGAUACCCACGUGCAUAGAAACGCCACUUGCUCGGCAAAGGGCACUGAAGAGCCACCGUCCUGUGGAUGGGCAGGGUGGGGGGGGGGCUGGAGGAGGACAUGGGAAUCCGUCACUUUCGACCUCUUCCGGUGGUUCACUUACCGGGAAUGCGGAAGAGUGGGUCUCCCCCUCGGGUCGCCCCCAUAAUGGUGAGAGGCAAACUGUUUAAAAACACCCUUGCCUCUCUCCUCUACUGUCCUCACAACGAGCGCCAGGGGGCGGCGCUGUCGAGCUCUAAACAAAGCCAAGGAAGUUGGAGAAGUUUCGGGCUAAAAAGGGUUAAGGUGUAGGAGCACAGAGUCCUCCUUCUGGGGUUGGAAGCUCCGUUCCCGGGCAGCUCAGCGUGGAUUCCGCUGCGUUCACCUCUUGCCUCCAGGGCCCAGUAGAUCCUGGGCUUUAAACAAGAACAGAGAGUAUGGCGUCUGCCACGUGCGACAGACACGCACCGGUGGGGUGGGCCGGGCUGGACUGGACUGACCUGCAGUGACCAAACGGGUGGGGCGUGGACACUCUGAAAGUGAAAAAGGCAAGCACGACUGUCCCGCCGCACACUCCCCAGCGCCUUGGGGCAGAGAGCCUCCAAACGUCCCGCUGAGUUGAGCUCUUCGCUGGGAAGGCCGCCCCAGCACCCAGGAAACGAAGGAGCUGCUGGACACGGGGGUCUGAAGCUCCCGGAAUGCACACAGCUGCGCCUCCCCUGACGCGGACCCCCUGGGAAGAGGAAGGGAAGAGCGGCAGAUAGCACAGUAGGGCUUGUCCGGCGGGAGCAGUCAAGCUGUGGCUGCCUAGGCUGAAUCAGGGGGUCGUGACUCCGGUGCACAGCCUGCCUACGCGGGACGCAAAAGCAGGGCUGCCUGCGGUGCCGCCAUGGGGGUGAGGGUGGAGCUUCAGAUAAGGGCAGGAACCUCGUUGGGGCACUGCUGAAAGGUCUCAGAAUGUGGGGACAAUUCCCAGAGUGAAUGAGACAAGAGAGGGGGACAGGAUCGGUUACAGAAUCAGAAACCAGUGCAAAGUGAAAAUGUGGGGUCCAUUGUUCAAUUACAAGGAUUCAAGACUGUGAUAGCAAAGUGUUAAACAAGGAAUGAGGCCCUGGGGGGGUGAUGAGAGGGCCCUUCUGAACCUGCCAGCCCUAAAAGCCACUGAGGGACAUUCAAGGAUCAGAUCUCACCCCACACCAGGCUGGCUGAGUUCUUGGAUGGAUUCUAGCUGAUUCACCAACACAAUGUUUCACUGGACGUCCUACACAGGUCCACUUGCACCCAUUGCUGAUUCUUGCAAAGAAAAAAAAAGUGUGAGAACAGCCCCAAUAGCUGAGUCCACUAAGAACUCAGUGAUGUCUGUGAAACUUGGAUCAACCCUAUAUGAGGAGGUGCAGAUGUUGGAUGUUUCUGUAUUAGAAAGAAACUAGAGCAACAACAGAUAGAAGCAGAGCAUUGUCCCAUGGGGGGUACCACAGUGUCUGGGUUGCCCUACACAAGGAUGGGUGGACAUGACCCACUUGGCUUUCCCACCUGUAAGGGCUUUACCCCUGACCCUCAGGAUACCUUUGCCUUGUGGGGCCUGCCCUCAGCCGCUUUGUUUUUCCUCUCCAGCCAAUACCUUGGAGGCUUUGCAUAUUUUAGACUACCUUCUGGUGACUGAAGGUCCCCUGUCUGUGUUCUUGCCCCAUCCCUAUCUUCCUAUCUGUGCCCCCUGCACACCAGGGUGGGCCACUCCUUCCUAUCCCUUUGCAGAUAACACAUCCACUUCCCAAUGCUUGGCCCAGUUCCUGGCCCAGCACCCUCACUCUGGCCCACCAGCAGACUUGCUUUACUCCUGAAACAGCUCCCUUGAAGAACACCCAUCUGGUCCUAAAUACUGUUGCCAAAAUCUUGUUUUCAGCCAUCCUUCUAGAAGCCUUGGUGCCAUUUGCACUUGUGACCCUUCACCAUUCUCAAGGCUCCUCCUCCAAUUACUUUUGAGACACAUGUUUUCCUCCCUUCCUCUCCUGUGAGCCUUGGGGAGGCCCCUGGGAUCCUCUUGUACCACCCACUAGAGUGGCCAUUCUCAAGGUUUUGCUGGUGGUCUUCAUCAUCUCUUUACAACCCACCUUUUGGUGAACUUACCCAUUCCCCUGGCAGUGAUAGCAGUGUCCAAGGAGAUUGGGGAGGGAGUAUUCUAGAAGGGACCCUUACCCCAUCUUUCCCAGUAUCAAUAGUUGGUCCACUGAGGUUUUAAACCAUGCACUUGCCUUUGACUUUCUGCUCUCCUUCAUCCACUGCCUAGUUUUUGUGUCUUGUUUCCCCUGAUCACUGCUCCUGCCUUCUCAAUUUAUGCUGAGACAGUUGGGUCCCCAGCUCUUUUCCUUGCUGCUUAUCUCUCCAGCUCUCCACCGUGGCUGAGGCUACUCUGAUCCUCAUACUCCCUCAGUGCUGCUCCCACCCGCUGGGAGAGCCCAUACUCUUUCCCCUCCGCACUGAAGAUGCUCGCGAUAGUGCCUCUACUCUGUGGCCACAGAUGAGAAAAUUUGCACUCAAGGGGCUAUGCUGGAAUUUGGACCCAGAGCCUGCACCCCUUGCACCUCACAAGGCUUCAAGGACCAGUGUUCUGCUGGUCUCCAUGAAUGAGGAAACAUCCUGGCAAGGGAGGCUCCUGCUCACUGUCAGAGAAGCACCUUGUCCGCUCAUCUCCACCCUGUAGUUCAUGUCUCUCCCUCUGCUAGCAACAUUCUCGUCUGCCAGGCUCUUCACCCACUGAAAUCUUUCCAUUCUUUCAAGUCCCAGUUCAAGCUUCCCCAUCAGCAAGUUUUCUGAAUAACCCAACCAGAACUGAUCUGUCUGUGAUUCCCAUAGACAGGUCGUUCUCUCAGCUCUUUAGUACUCACCACUCCCUCCCUGCCCUGUACCUAAUCAUGCAUAUACCACACUUUUUGCUGCACUUAUACUCCAGAUUCCCACACAUUUUUGUAUCCCCUUACACCUAACAGCACGCUUUGUAACUAGACAGUGCCCAGAGCUUAUUGGAGCACCUGUGGUAGAUGUUUCUUUGUCCUCUCCAGGGUGAUUUUCUCACAUUCACCUGCAAAGACAAGGAUGGGGGACCUCAGAGCCUCAGGGUGAAUUAAGAGUGUGGACUUUGGAGCCGACUUGGCUGCACUGGAGACCCAGCUCCGGCAUUCACAAGUUUUUGUUUAUUGUUAAGAUUUGACUAAUAACCCCUCCCCGUGUAGCUCAGUUUCCUUGACUGUGUAAUGGGAAUAGUCCCUCCUUCAAAGUGUUAGGAUGAAGAUUAAAUGGGUUAUACAUGUAAAGCAUUUAGAACAGAGGAGCCGUAGUCAGCUCUCAAUAAAUUUUAGCAAAAAAGAAAACACUCAAGUCCCUAGAAUUUGGAUUCGGCAUCUGAUUGUAUUCAAUAUCCAGCAUGGUUUCUUUUCCAUGGUAGGGACUCACCAAAUGUCUGUUGGAUUUAAUUUGUUCCAGCCAAGCAUUUCUACCACUAAUAACAAUAAGCAAUUGUGAAAAAAAAUCAGGGAUGGAGGCAUAGGGAAGAAAUUGAAGCAUGUCCUGUCUUAGGCUUCCCAUCUGCCCUAGAGACAUCCAUAGUGACUGUCCCCAUUGCCCAGGUGUGGAAGCUGAAGGCCAGAGAGAAUCAGUGACUCUCCAAUGUCACACAGCUAGUAAGUGGUGAAACAAAGAUUCACCGGCCUGUGGUAAGGAUGAAAGAAUUACAAUGUGGAGUAUGUCUGAGCCCCCAUUUUGCCACAUACUGGCCUACUUGGCUAAGUUAUUUCAAUCUCUGGUGUUCUUUCCCAAAAACUGGAGAUAUAAUAUCUAAUAUGUAGGAUUAGUGUAAAAUAAAACUCUUUCCCAAAAACUGGAGAUAUAAUAUCUAAUAUGUAGGAUUAGUGUAAAAUAAAACAGAAAAUGUACAUACAGUGACUAUUACUUUUCUUGGAAGACAGCAGCUGUUUAACAAAUAUGGUUGUUAUUACUGCUAUAUAUAAAAAAAAAAGCUUUAUCAAAGACCCCUGUGGUCACUGGUAGCCAUCCAGGAAGUCUUGCUUUUUAUUUAUUUAUUGACUGAUUGAUUGACUUUUGAGACAGAGUCUCAAAAUCGGUAGCCCAGACUAGAGUGCAGCAGUGUUAUCAUGGCUCACUGCAGCCUUGACCUCCCAGAUCAAGUGAUCCGCCUAUCUCAGCCUCCAGAGUAGCUGGG